UUAAGCGACUAAGCGUACACGGUGGAUGCCCUGGCAGUCAGAGGCGAUGAAGGACGUGCUAAUCUGCGAUAAGCGUCGGUAAGGUGAUAUGAACCGUUAUAACCGGCGAUUUCCGAAUGGGGAAACCCAGUGUGAUUCGUCACACUAUCAUUAACUGAAUCCAUAGGUUAAUGAGGCGAACCGGGGGAACUGAAACAUCUAAGUACCCCGAGGAAAAGAAAUCAACCGAGAUUCCCCCAGUAGCGGCGAGCGAACGGGGAGGAGCCCAGAGCCUGAAUCAGUGUGUGUGUUAGUGGAAGCGUCUGGAAAGGCGCGCGAUACAGGGUGACAGCCCCGUACACAAAAAUGCACAUGCUGUGAGCUCGAUGAGUAGGGCGGGACACGUGGUAUCCUGUCUGAAUAUGGGGGGACCAUCCUCCAAGGCUAAAUACUCCUGACUGACCGAUAGUGAACCAGUACCGUGAGGGAAAGGCGAAAAGAACCCCGGCGAGGGGAGUGAAAAAGAACCUGAAACCGUGUACGUACAAGCAGUGGGAGCACGCUUAGGCGUGUGACUGCGUACCUUUUGUAUAAUGGGUCAGCGACUUAUAUUCUGUAGCAAGGUUAACCGAAUAGGGGAGCCGAAGGGAAACCGAGUCUUAACUGGGCGUUAAGUUGCAGGGUAUAGACCCGAAACCCGGUGAUCUAGCCAUGGGCAGGUUGAAGGUUGGGUAACACUAACUGGAGGACCGAACCGACUAAUGUUGAAAAAUUAGCAGAUGACUUGUGGCUGGGGGUGAAAGGCCAAUCAAACCGGGAGAUAGCUGGUUCUCCCCGAAAGCUAUUUAGGUAGCGCCUCGUGAAUUCAUCUCCGGGGGUAGAGCACUGUUUCGGCAAGGGGGUCAUCCCGACUUACCAACCCGAUGCAAACUGCGAAUACCGGAGAAUGUUAUCACGGGAGACACACGGCGGGUGCUAACGUCCGUCGUGAAGAGGGAAACAACCCAGACCGCCAGCUAAGGUCCCAAAGUCAUGGUUAAGUGGGAAACGAUGUGGGAAGGCCCAGACAGCCAGGAUGUUGGCUUAGAAGCAGCCAUCAUUUAAAGAAAGCGUAAUAGCUCACUGGUCGAGUCGGCCUGCGCGGAAGAUGUAACGGGGCUAAACCAUGCACCGAAGCUGCGGCAGCGACGCUUAUGCGUUGUUGGGUAGGGGAGCGUUCUGUAAGCCUGUGAAGGUGUGCUGUGAGGCAUGCUGGAGGUAUCAGAAGUGCGAAUGCUGACAUAAGUAACGAUAAAGCGGGUGAAAAGCCCGCUCGCCGGAAGACCAAGGGUUCCUGUCCAACGUUAAUCGGGGCAGGGUGAGUCGACCCCUAAGGCGAGGCCGAAAGGCGUAGUCGAUGGGAAACAGGUUAAUAUUCCUGUACUUGGUGUUACUGCGAAGGGGGGACGGAGAAGGCUAUGUUGGCCGGGCGACGGUUGUCCCGGUUUAAGCGUGUAGGCUGGUUUUCCAGGCAAAUCCGGAAAAUCAAGGCUGAGGCGUGAUGACGAGGCACUACGGUGCUGAAGCAACAAAUGCCCUGCUUCCAGGAAAAGCCUCUAAGCAUCAGGUAACAUCAAAUCGUACCCCAAACCGACACAGGUGGUCAGGUAGAGAAUACCAAGGCGCUUGAGAGAACUCGGGUGAAGGAACUAGGCAAAAUGGUGCCGUAACUUCGGGAGAAGGCACGCUGAUAUGUAGGUGNACUAACUGGAGGACCGAACCGACUAAUGUUGAAAAAUUAGCGGAUGACUUGUGGCUGGGGGUGAAAGGCCAAUCAAACCGGGAGAUAGCUGGUUCUCCCCGAAAGCUAUUUAGGUAGCGCCUCGUGAAUUCAUCUCCGGGGGUAGAGCACUGUUUCGGCAAGGGGGUCAUCCCGACUUACCAACCCGAUGCAAACUGCGAAUACCGGAGAAUGUUAUCACGGGAGACACACGGCGGGUGCUAACGUCCGUCGUGAAGAGGGAAACAACCCAGACCGCCAGCUAAGGUCCCAAAGUCAUGGUUAAGUGGGAAACGAUGUGGGAAGGCCCAGACAGCCAGGAUGUUGGCUUAGAAGCAGCCAUCAUUUAAAGAAAGCGUAAUAGCUCACUGGUCGAGUCGGCCUGCGCGGAAGAUGUAACGGGGCUAAACCAUGCACCGAAGCUGCGGCAGCGACGCUUAUGCGUUGUUGGGUAGGGGAGCGUUCUGUAAGCCUGCGAAGGUGUGCUGUGAGGCAUGCUGGAGGUAUCAGAAGUGCGAAUGCUGACAUAAGUAACGAUAAAGCGGGUGAAAAGCCCGCUCGCCGGAAGACCAAGGGUUCCUGUCCAACGUUAAUCGGGGCAGGGUGAGUCGACCCCUAAGGCGAGGCCGAAAGGCGUAGUCGAUGGGAAACAGGUUAAUAUUCCUGUACUUGGUGUUACUGCGAAGGGGGGACGGAGAAGGCUAUGUUGGCCGGGCGACGGUUGUCCCGGUUUAAGCGUGUAGGCUGGUUUUCCAGGCAAAUCCGGAAAAUCAAGGCUGAGGCGUGAUGACGAGGCACUACGGUGCUGAAGCAACAAAUGCCCUGCUUCCAGGAAAAGCCUCUAAGCAUCAGGUAACAUCAAAUCGUACCCCAAACCGACACAGGUGGUCAGGUAGAGAAUACCAAGGCGCUUGAGAGAACUCGGGUGAAGGAACUAGGCAAAAUGGUGCCGUAACUUCGGGAGAAGGCACGCUGAUAUGUAGGUGAAGUCCCUCGCGGAUGGAGCUGAAAUCAGUCGAAGAUACCAGCUGGCUGCAACUGUUUAUUAAAAACACAGCACUGUGCAAACACGAAAGUGGACGUAUACGGUGUGACGCCUGCCCGGUGCCGGAAGGUUAAUUGAUGGGGUUAGCGCAAGCGAAGCUCUUGAUCGAAGCCCCGGUAAACGGCGGCCGUAACUAUAACGGUCCUAAGGUAGCGAAAUUCCUUGUCGGGUAAGUUCCGACCUGCACGAAUGGCGUAAUGAUGGCCAGGCUGUCUCCACCCGAGACUCAGUGAAAUUGAACUCGCUGUGAAGAUGCAGUGUACCCGCGGCAAGACGGAAAGACCCCGUGAACCUUUACUAUAGCUUGACACUGAACAUUGAGCCUUGAUGUGUAGGAUAGGUGGGAGGCUUUGAAGUGUGGACGCCAGUCUGCAUGGAGCCGACCUUGAAAUACCACCCUUUAAUGUUUGAUGUUCUAACGUUGACCCGUGAUCCGGGUUGCGGACAGUGUCUGGUGGGUAGUUUGACUGGGGCGGUCUCCUCCUAAAGAGUAACGGAGGAGCACGAAGGUUGGCUAAUCCUGGUCGGACAUCAGGAGGUUAGUGCAAUGGCAUAAGCCAGCUUGACUGCGAGCGUGACGGCGCGAGCAGGUGCGAAAGCAGGUCAUAGUGAUCCGGUGGUUCUGAAUGGAAGGGCCAUCGCUCAACGGAUAAAAGGUACUCCGGGGAUAACAGGCUGAUACCGCCCAAGAGUUCAUAUCGACGGCGGUGUUUGGCACCUCGAUGUCGGCUCAUCACAUCCUGGGGCUGAAGUAGGUCCCAAGGGUAUGGCUGUUCGCCAUUUAAAGUGGUACGCGAGCUGGGUUUAGAACGUCGUGAGACAGUUCGGUCCCUAUCUGCCGUGGGCGCUGGAGAACUGAGGGGGGCUGCUCCUAGUACGAGAGGACCGGAGUGGACGCAUCACUGGUGUUCGGGUUGUCAUGCCAAUGGCACUGCCCGGUAGCUAAAUGCGGAAGAGAUAAGUGCUGAAAGCAUCUAAGCACGAAACUUGCCCCGAGAUGAGUUCUCCCUGACUCCUUGAGAGUCCUGAAGGAACGUUGAAGACGACGACGUUGAUAGGCCGGGUGUGUAAGCGCAGCGAUGCGUUGAGCUAACCGGUACUAAUGAACCGUGAGGCUUAACCUU
rnacentral:rRNA from 1 species